AUGUGUUACUGUGUAAACUCUAUCCCUUUCUACAUAAUGAUUGGGUUAAGCAUCAUGAAAGGAGAAAAUAAAAAUGUUCAAGACAACCAAUCCCUUUCUUCACCGGACUUCUUUCCAUUUUUAUUAGAACUUCAGCAACCGGUGACUCCAUCUGUAGAUUUUUGGGAGUACAGUUUGAUGUGGAUUAGAAUCAUUUACAGAGAGAAGCAGCCCCACAUGAUAGAUAAACAAAAUUGUGACGGCACACAAUCAAUAGAAUUUGUAGCAACAACGGAAUGGGUGGAAGCAACUUUUACUUUGUCAACAUAA
rnacentral:rRNA from 1 species